CGCCCAGUGCUCGGAGCGGAGUACGUGCAUGCCCAGUUCCAUUCUGUUGCCGCAGACUACGAGACAGCUCUAGGAUCAGAUUGGCUACAGGUUGCUGAGCAGCGCUGACGUUAGCCAGGGAGAUAGAAAUGGCAUAACCUGGGUAUCAUCUACUUACCUGUUGGCAGAACCAGACUUCUACUUAAAACAACAAUGAACUGGUUCUGAGACCUCAGGGAAUGACAGAAUAUAGGAUGGAAGGAACCAGGACAUCCACCUUGGACUGCUCUGUCUUUCAGUUUAUCAAAAUCAGGAGAAGAGUUCCUGCUGGAGACACACACAUUACUGGACUAAGUAAAGAGAAGUUCAAGAAAUGUCCAACUGAUGGGAUCAAGAGGAUGCAGAAGGGGUAGGUCAUGAAGAAGAGGAAGGAUCCUGGGUGCCUGGAGGAAGGGGUGUAGAGCUCCAAACAGAGCUCAUCUACCAAAGACUCGCUUAAAAUUCUGCCAAUUAAUUAGAGCUGCUCUAAUUUUGAGCUGCUUUUUGCUGUGACAGAAAAGAUACGAUGUGAAGUCAGGUCAGGGAAGGGUUGGACCUGAGGACAGAAUCAUUCUUUGAAAAACUCCUGGGUUUUUACUAACAUAAUCAGCACACUAACAUUUAAUACUUACUUAGUUAUUUAACCUCAUCUUUGUGUCAAAGACAUAAUUGAUCUUUCUCCUGUAGGAGGAACACAGAAUAACAGUCCCUGAUUUUGUAUGUCUCUGUUCUAUAAUGACAGGCUGUCAUUUUCUGUAAUUACCCAGAGAUGAGGAACAAUGUGUGUAGGCUGAAUGUAGUUGCUUAGUAACCACCUUUUAAAACUUUCUUAAAUGUAAUUGCUUUUUUUGCCAGAGAAACAUUGAUUUAGCUAAUUUGCAUUAAACCACUCUCUAAGCCAUUCAACUUAUUAAACACCCCUGUGCUUUUUAUUUCAACUUAUUUGUCUUUUAAAUUCUGUUAAGGUAAGCCACCUUUGUUAUGAUCACUAUUUGUCUUUAAACAAAGUGAGACUUCCAAAUGAUUAUCUGUACAUUGUCAUUUUCCCCAUUGUUUUUCUGUAUCUCUAUUCAUAUUGCUUUUUGAACUGAGGAUAGAAACUGGUAAAGAAUCAUGAAAAUCCCCAGUUCCACUCUGAAUAAUUCUUGAUUCUAAGCACCACCUAUCUGUUUUUCUUUAACUGUGUAUGAAAAUUUGCAUGGUUUGAAUGUUCUCUUGGCUUCUGUCCCUGGUCUCAUAUCUUGCUGUUAAUCAAAUGUCUAUAUUGCUAUUUAAGGAAAUAUGGAGUCUGGGAAGACAGCUAGCAUAUAACUUCAUUUAUUAUGGUAUGUUUACCAAUGUAUACUGACUUGAAGGAGGAAAUGAUUAAAAGCUAUA